rnacentral:lncRNA from 1 species
UGAUUGUUUCAGCCAACCAAGGCCCCUAACGUGUUUUUUUCGCAAGGACAUGUAUAAAGCCGACCGAAACAGGCCGAAACCAGCCAAAAAGGGUCAGGUCGAGACAAACCACCGUCGUGGGUGGUGGUGCCAUCGCCAAAACAUGGCAGUGUCGCUGCAUCGGAACUCCGAAAUUGGCCAAAAAUGAUUUUUUUACACCGAUUUUGAAUUCUUAUGGUAUUUUUAGGCCUAAGUGAUAAAAGUAAGAACUCAUCUUCUUUCUUUUUUGAUUACCUUCCUCGCGUAUGUAUAAGAUCGAAUCCAUUCGAUUUCUAAAACGGAUUACUAAUCCUUAACUUUUCGAGAAAUCCUUCAUCAGUGGUUGUGAAUGACUAAUUUUUCUCAAUCUUUUCGACCUUGGUUCCGUAGGAGCAAGUCAUAAAGAUUGAGAAAUAGAACCAUUUGAUUUGAUUCG